rnacentral:rRNA from 1 species
AAAGCGUCCGCAGGCGGCCUUGAAAGUCUGUUGUUAAAGCGUGGAGCUCAACUCCAUUUCAGCAAUGGAAACUACAAGGCUAGAGUGUGGUAGGGGCAGAGGGAAUUCCCGGUGUAGCGGUGAAAUGCGUAGAUAUCGGGAAGAACACCAGUGGCGAAGGCGCUCUGCUGGGCCAUAACUGACGCUCAUGGACGAAAGCCAGGGGAGCGAAAGGGAUUAGAUACCCCAGU